rnacentral:rRNA from 1 species
GCGACAGGCUUAACACAUGCAAGUCGAGGGGCAGCGGGGGUAGCGAUACCCGCCGGCGACCGGCGCACGGGUGAGUAACGCGUAUGCAACUUGCCUAUCAGAGGGGGAUAACCCGGCGAAAGUCGGACUAAUACCGCAUGAAGCAGGGGCCCCGCAUGGGGAUAUUUGCUAAAGAUUCAUCGCUGAUAGAUAGGCAUGCGUUCCAUUAGGCAGUUGGCGGGGUAACGGCCCACCAAACCGACGAUGGAUAGGGGUUCUGAGAGGAAGGUCCCCCACAUUGGUACUGAGACACGGACCAAACUCCUACGGGAGGCAGCAGUGAGGAAUAUUGGUCAAUGGCCGAGAGGCUGAACCAGCCAAGUCGCGUGAGGGAUGAAGGUUCUAUGGAUCGUAAACCUCUUUUAUAAGGGAAUAAAGUGCGGGACGUGUCCCGUUUUGUAUGUACCUUAUGAAUAAGGAUCGGCUAACUCCGUGCCAGCAGCCGCGGUAAUACGGAGGAUCCGAGCGUUAUCCGGAUUUAUUGGGUUUAAAGGGUGCGUAGGCGGCCUUUUAAGUCAGCGGUGAAAGUCUGUGGCUCAACCAUAGAAUUGCCGUUGAAACUGGGGGGCUUGAGUAUGUUUGAGGCAGGCGGAAUGCGUGGUGUAGCGGUGAAAUGCAUAGAUAUCACGCAGAACCCCGAUUGCGAAGGCAGCCUGCCAAGCCAUUACUGACGCUGAUGCACGAAAGCGUGGGGAUCAAACAGGAUUAGAUACCCUGGUAGUCCACGCAGUAAACGAUGAUCACUAGCUGUUUGCGAUACACUGUAAGCGGCACAGCGAAAGCGUUAAGUGAUCCACCUGGGGAGUACGCCGGCAACGGUGAAACUCAAAGGAAUUGACGGGGGCCCGCACAAGCGGAGGAACAUGUGGUUUAAUUCGAUGAUACGCGAGGAACCUUACCCGGGUUUGAACGCAUUCGGACCGAGGUGGAAACACCUUUUCUAGCAAUAGCCGUUUGCGAGGUGCUGCAUGGUUGUCGUCAGCUCGUGCCGUGAGGUGUCGGCUUAAGUGCCAUAACGAGCGCAACCCUUGCCACUAGUUACUAACAGGUAAAGCUGAGGACUCUGGUGGGACUGCCAGCGUAAGCUGCGAGGAAGGCGGGGAUGACGUCAAAUCAGCACGGCCCUUACAUCCGGGGCGACACACGUGUUACAAUGGCGUGGACAAAGGGAAGCCACCUGGCGACAGGGAGCGAAUCCCCAAACCACGUCUCAGUUCGGAUCGGAGUCUGCAACCCGACUCCGUGAAGCUGGAUUCGCUAGUAAUCGCGCAUCAGCCAUGGCGCGGUGAAUACGUUCCCGGGCCUUGUACACACCGCCCGUCAAGCCAUGGGAGCCGGGGGUACCUGAAGUCCGUAACCGCGAGGAUCGGCCUAGGGUAAAACUGGUGACUGGGGC